AGUGCUUUAUGACGUGUUUCCCUCUCAUCCCUUCACGUGAAGGCGCUCUACGCUGUCGUUUAAAGGCACAAUCAAUCACUGGCUAUUACUUUUCUCACUUCUCUUCUUAUGCCCUUACCAUAUCAUGAGUAUCAUCAAAGCAUGAAUUCGCGUAAACUCGAUUCUCUCUGUUGGAUUUUAUGGAAUUGGAGGGAUAGGUGAAACAACGACCGCUGUAACUAAGAGAUUGUUGUUACAGUUAGUUGUUGUUUUACCUAUUCCACCCAUUGCAUGGAUCCCUGUUAUGAGGAUUAGGGUAAUUCAAAUUUCUAAUUUUUCAUCCCAAGAAGGCAAGUAUACUGUGCUUUUUCUCUGCUUUUCUAUACGGUUUAUAACAGAUGUCUGAUAGUUAUGUAAUUGCUGUCUCCAAUUUGCAAGAUCUGUUAUCUCAGAGUUGUGAGAUUAAGUUAAGUUCUUUUGUUUUUUGUUUUCUACCCUAUGCUUUUCUAUGUUGAUUUUAAGAUUGUUGAUUGGAUAUUUUUUGUUUUUGUUUAUUUUUUUUUUUUUUUCGCCAGAAGUUCAUGGAUCUGAGUGUUUAAAGUUUGUAAUAGAGAUAUCUGAUUGUGGUCUAUCUGGUCUUCCCAGUUUAGAAGAUCUGUUAUCUCAAAGUUGUGAGAUUAAAUUAAGUAAAACAGAGAAAAAGAUUGAAUUGAUUUUUUCUGGCUUUCUAUACUUAAUGGAUUGUUUUUUUUUGUGUGUGCUUAUUGGGUAUUUCUCCCUUCUCCACCUCCUUUUUUCACCAGAAGUUCAUGGAUCUAACUAUUUAACGUUUUGAUUAUUGUUAGUUUAUGAUGGAUAUCUGAUUGUCGUGUAUCUGGUUCACCAUUUAGAAGAUCUGGUAUUUCAAAAUUGUGAGAUUAAAUUAAGUACAAAUCUUGGAUGGUUUAUCUUGCAUUUAGGUAGCUAUAUCUAUUUUUUUUCAGAAAUUUCUUCGGAAAGGUCUUGCAUGUUUCGUCAUCAUAGAAGGAUGUUGCUUUAUAAAGGAAGUUUAAAUCGGUUUGUUGGGAGCUUGUUGAAGAAAUUAAACGGGUACCACCCACCAUAGGAACUUUCUCUGCACCAAAGAUUAAGAAUGUUGCUUCUUGAGGAAGCUUUAUUUGGAUGAUUUGUGAGAAUAUUAAAAAAAAUUGCCAGAAUUCUGCCAAAUAUAGAUCUUUUGUUUGCACAAAGCUGCAUAUCAUUUACUUGCCCCGGUAUAUGCAUGUUAAUGCUAUUAAGUUCUGCUUUAUUUGUUAAUUUGUUUGAUUUAAUAAUUGGGGUUUAGUUUUACUCAAAUUUUGCAUACGGUAGAUUGCUGAACUUACAAUUGACAGGAACAGCACGUGGUGGUUAUCUGAUUUUGGAACAAGUUCCCUCCCAUAUCUUUCUGCUUUUAGUUUUUCAUUUUCUACCUUGUAUGUUUUAUUUCUCAAUUGAUCAUCAAUGACAUUUGAGUGUAUAAAGGGGUCCAAAGAGGAUGGGAAACAUUCAUGUAUGUAUUUUGGAUAAAAAAACAGACAAAUUUUGAAGA